UUCACCAACAAUUCACUUUUUGGUAUAGACAAGAAAGCUUUUAGAGUGUCGAUAUCUCGAAAAACUAGAAGAUUUUCAAAAAAUCGUCUUGGGCAAAGCAUAGAACAUUUUUGAAAAUAUUUUUUUUGGUCUUAAAAUUUUCUUUAGACUUCGCUGAGUCGGAUCAGCUAGGUCCAGAAGUUCGGAUGGAAAAUAUUCAAAAAUCGACCGACCCUAAUGGUCAUUUCGAUUUUAUGU